rnacentral:rRNA from 1 species
CCUACGGGGGGCAGCAGUGAGGAAUAUUGGUCAAUGGAGGCGACUCUGAACCAGCCAAGUAGCGUGAAGGAUGACGGCCCUAUGGGUUGUAAACUUCUUUUAUAUGGGAAUAAAAUGUUCCACGUGUGGGUUUUUGUAUGUACCGUAUGAAUAAGGACCGGCUAAUUCCGUGCCAGCAGCCGCGGUAAUACGGAGGAUCCGGGCAUUAUCCGGAUUUAUUGGGUUUAAAGGGAGCGCAGGGGGCUUGUUAAGUGAGUUGUGAAAGUUUGCGGCUCAACCGUAAAAUUGCAGUUGAAACUGGGAGUCUUGAGUACAGUAGAGGUGGGCGGAAUUCGUGGUGUAGCGGUGAAAUGCUUAGAUAUCACGAAGAACUCCGAUUGCGAAGGCAGCUCACCGGACUGCAACUGACACUGAGGCUCGAAAGUGUGGGUAUCAAACAGGAUUAGAUACCCGUGUAGUC